rnacentral:piRNA from 1 species
AUGUGUGGAAAUNGGUGGUAAACCUGCCUCAC